UUCUUAUAAGUUUGCUAAUAAUAAAACAGAAUAAAUUUAAUGUAAAAAACUUAAUUUUUACUAAGCAUCAAUCGUUAGGAUAGAUAGAUGUUUUAGAUUUUGUUAGAAACAUGUGUGUGUCAACUUGUAUGAUUGGUUGGAAAAAAAAGAAGAAAAAAAGUUUUUUUUUUUCCUCUCUGUCUCUCUAUCGAAAUAAUUAUCGUUUUGAGUUUUGAUUGCUUGGUGUUUUUUUUUCGUGGAAGAAGUCUAUAGCUUUCUCGUCUAGGGGUUUGUGUGUGUGUGUGUGUUUAGAGCUGUUGUUGGUACUGUUCUUCUUCAUCGCCGCUGAUUCUGAUUUUUUUUUCCCCAUUUUUUGGGCAAAUCAUUACUCUUGCAAUUGAAUUUCAUGUGUCUUGGUUUGUUUGCAAUUGAAUCUUUGGGUUAAUCAGUGAAUCAAUUCUUGUUGAAAAGCUGAGAACUUUAUUAGGGAUUUGAGAAUUCUCCAGUUAAGAAAGAUUCUCAUCGGAUCAAUUUGGUUUUGUAGAUUAUAAUUGCUCUGUGGACUCGUUGGUGGCUUCAAAAUCAAAACUUUAAUACACAAUCUAACAACAAAUUGGAGAUCUUUAGCCUCGUUUGUAUUAACUAUGGCAUUCACUGUGACAUCUUAACAUUGAAACCGAGCUAUGACUGAAUUGCAAAUGGAGGUAGAUACCAAUUCUUCAUCGCAGGAGUCUGUCCUGAAGGAGCAUGUGCCUCAAGUCAUAUAUAUAGAUGUAAGAAAUGCGUCGAUGUGUAUAUAGAAGGUUACAAACUGGGCUGUCUGAUUUAUUACUUUUGUGGAUUGUUGCAUAACAUGUUUCCUCAUCUCUGAGAUGCUUUAGGUACCUGAAAAACUUAGCUAUGCAUUACCUUAUUCUGUAAUUUCAGUAAAACAAUUUAUUGAGGCAACUCUAAUGUUGUCUCUUCUUAUCCUUUCUUGUUUGUUCUCAUAUUUAUAUAUUUGCUUCCUCUUGUUGA